AGUUAUAUAGGGGUAUGACUUGGUCAUUUGUCUUCCAGACACGGAAGAAGUACAUGGCCAUGCUCCCAUUAUCUAAAUUCAGCCACUAAAGGGCCCUGGGAGCAUCAUAGCAGCAGAUCAAACAGCAGAGAAUACUGCCCUGAUCCUCUGUGAUCCAUUGAGACUGGGAAAAAAGAAAAAACAAGACGACUGCAUCAAACCUAAGGAACUAGCCCUGGGUGGGUACAGGGAGAAGCAGAGAGACUUGCCUUCAG
rnacentral:lncRNA from 1 species